CAGCUGCUAGCUGGGAUGAUAGCAGAGCCUGCUUUUCUCUCUGAGUAUACUAUCUUUGCUUUGGAUCCCACCAAACAACCUAAACCACAGACUGACAAUGUGAAUGUAUCUAAGCAAACAGCCCCCAGAUCGGCAGACAACAAUGACAGUGAACCAUCUUCCCCCCAGUUGAGUGAUACUCAGUCUUUUGCACAGAAGCUUCAACUCCAGGUUCCUUCAAUGGAAUCUUUGUUUCGAAGUCCAGUAAAAGAGUCUAUAUUUCGCUCUUCUUCUAAAGAGUCCCUGGUACGAACUUCUUCGAGAGAUUCUCUGAAUCGACUUGACAUUGACACCGCUAGUCCCACAUUUGAUCCACCCUCUGAUGUUGAAAGUGAGGCAGAAGAGUUGCUGGGAAACAUGGACAGCCUCAGCAAGGAACAGUUAUUACAACGGUUGCGAAGGAUGGAACGUAGCUUAGGCAACUACAGAGGAAAAUACACAGAGCUAGUAACUGCCUAUCAAGCUAUCCAGAGAGAAAGGAAGAAGCUUCAGGGUAUACUGAGCCAGAGUCAGGAUAAAGCACUUCGACGAAUUGGAGAACUACGAGAGGAACUCCAAAUGGAUCAGCAAGCCAAAAAACAUCUCCAGGAGGAAUUUGAUGCUUCAUUAGAAGAAAAGGAUCAGGUUAUUAGUGUCCUGCAGACUCAGGUAUCCUUGCUGAAACAGCGGUUACAAAAUGGCCAAAUAAACACGGAGCUACCUGAGCCAACUGUUCAGUCAGAACCAAAUGCUCAAAGUCCAACAACAGAAAUCAAUACACAAAAUGUUUGGGAAUCGGGAGGUACUGGUGGCAAUGAAGAUUCUGCAAAAACACUAGAAGCCCUUAAUCUGAGAGUAAAACGUCAAGAAAACCUGCUACAGCGAUGUAAAGAGAUGAUUCGAUCACAUAGGGAUCGCUCUGCACAGCUAUCUAAUGAGAAAGAGGCUCUGCAGGAACAACUAGAAGAGAGACUUCAGGAACUAGAGAAGAUGAAGGAGCUUCAAAUGGGUGAGAAGACUAAACUGAUUACUCAGUUGCGUGAUGCAAAGAACUUGAUUGAACAGCUAGAACAAGAUAAGGGAAUGGUAAUUGCAGAGACAAAAAGACAGAUGCAUGAAACAUUGGAAAUGAAGGAGGAGGAGAUAGCUCAACUGCGUGCUCGGAUCAAGCAGAUAACUACGCAUGGUGAAGAAUUGCGAGAGCAGAAAGAAAAAUCUGAAAAAGCUGCAUUUGAAGAGCUUGAGAAGUCUCUGAGUGUAGCCCAGAAGGCAGAGGAAGCUCGGAAAAAACUGCAAGCAGAGAUGGAUGAAAAAAUCAAAAUGAUAGAAAAAACAAGUGAGGAAGAACGGGUAAACCUUCAACAGGAGUUGACCAGGGUGAAACAGGAGGUGGUUGAGAUUAUGAAGAAGUCUUCAGAAGAACGUGUUGCUGAGCUAGAGAAAUUACAUAAAAGAGAACUGGCUAUCAAAGAGCAGGAGCUAAAUGAGAGGUUACAGACCCAAGAAAAGGAGUUCCAGGGACGGAUGAAGGCAGCUCUUGAGAAGAGUCAGAGUGAGUGCUUAAAGACAAUACAAGAAAAAGAGCAGCAGGAGUCCUUAGCCUUAGAAGAAUUAGAGCUGCAGAAAAAAGCAAUACAGUUAGAGUGUGAAAAGAAACUUCAGGACAUGCAGCAAGAAGUAGAGACAUUUAGAACUAGAAUUCUUGAGUUGGAAAGUUCCCCUGCGAAGCAUUCGCAAGAUGACAAAAGACAAAUGGAAGAAUUAACCACUCUUGUAGAGUCUGAAAGAAACAAGCACAAUAAAGAAAUCACUGUUAUGGUAGAAAAACACAGGGAAGAGUUAGAAGACAUGAAACAGCAGCAGGAAAAGCUUUGGACAGAAAAACUUCAACUCUUAGAGCAACAGCAGCAGUCCGAGAUAGAGAAACUAAGAAAGAGACAUGAACAAGAAAUAGAUGCAAUGUUAAAAGAAAAAGAGGCAGUUUUCCAUGCACACAUAGAAGAGAUGAAUGAAAAAACAUUAGAAAAGCUUGAUGUGAAACAAACAGAGCUAGAAACAUUGUCUUCUGAGUUAUCAGAAGCACUAAAAAUACGCUGUGAUCUAGAACAAGAGCUCUCUCUAUUAAAAAGUCAUUCCACCAGAGAGAACUUGGAGCUUCAGGCAAAGCUGGAAGAACAAAAAAGCUUGCACAAGGAAACAGUUGACACAGUGCUGAAAAAGGAUGAAGUGUCUAUUCAAGGCAUUGAGAAGGCACUCAAAGAGGAAAUUAACCAACUUAAACUAUUAUUGCAGGAAAAAGAACAACAUGUGGAGGAAUUAAGACUACAAGAACAGAAGUUAAGGGAAGUAGCGGAAAGAGCUGAAGCGGAAGUUGGACAAGUGUCUGCUAAACUAGAAGAUCUCAGUCAGUCGCACCAAAAUAAAUGCAGGGAGCAGGCAAAAAGGUACGAAGACCUGCAACAAAAACUGGCCAGUAUGGAAGAUGAAAGAUCACAACUUAAAGAACAGAUUGUAAGAACUGAAUCCCAGCUGAAUGAAGUUAAGAGUGAAUUAGACUCUUACAUCUCCCAGGUACAUGACCUGAGGCAACAACUGCAAGAGCAAAGCAAUGAAAACUUUCAGAAAGUAACCUCUCUAACGCAACAUUAUGAAUCUCAAUUGAAAGAUCUGAGUAGAGAGACUGAUCAAGCAAAAACAAAUUUGGUUGAAAAGGAAAGUGAAAUUGAGCAAAUGAAAAAACUACAGAAUGAGCAAAUGGAAGAGCUCAAACAGAAAAUAGUAGUCAAAGAGGAGAGAAUUAGUGCUAUACAAGGUGAAUAUGAAAAUAAAUUAAAACAGCAGGAGAACAAGAUGGACAAAAUGAAACAAAAAGCAAAGGAGAUGCAAGAAACAUUAAAAAAGAAGCUCUCUGAACAGGAAGCUAAACUGAAAAAGGAACUUGAAAACAAGCAGUUGGAAUUCAGUCACAAAGAGAGCAAGUUCAAUGCAAAAAUUUUGGAAAUGGCACAUGCCAGCUCAGCUGGAAUCAGUGAUGCUGUGUCAAAACUGGAAAUGAAUCAGAAAGAGCAACUAGAAAAUCUUGCAGUGGCUCAUCAGCAGGAACUGGAAAAAGUCACACAAACUUGGGAAAAGAAACUGAGUCAGCAGGCUGAGGAGCUCCAGGAGAAGCAUGAGGUAGAACUACAGGAAAAAGAAAGGGAAAUUGGAGACCUGAAGCAGAAUCUUGCUAUACUCAGUGCUGAGAAGGAAGGGAGUAGCUUAGAGAUGGUUCAGCUGAAGGAAGAACAGGUGGAGAAAGAGAAAACUUUGAAUGAACUGCAGGAGCAACUGGUGUUGUCAUUGGCUCAGGUGAGCACUUUGUCACAGAGUGAAACUGACUUGAAAGCACAGCUUGAAAAACUAAAAGAUGACCUUAAUUGCUCCCUGAAGGAAAGAGCUGAACUUCAUGAACAGCUCAGUGAGCUGAAAAAAGUGGAAGAAGAAAGCCAGGCUAAGAUUACAGAACUUACAGAUACACUGCGAACAGCUGAUGAAAAACUCCAAUCUCUGCAAUCUUUACGCUGUAAAGAACGUGAAGAUUGUGAGAGAGAACUAGAGGGGAAGCAUAUGGAGAUUCAGCAAAAAGAAGUGGAAUUCCAGAAGUUGUCCAAAGAGCUUACAGAUACUUACUGGAAGACAACUGAAGCCUUAUUGCAAACUAAAACUGAUGAGCUAAUUGAAAAAUGUAAUGAUAAAAUAAAGGUAGUAAUUUCCAAAAUUGCAGAUUGUCAAUAUCAAACUACAAAAAUCAAAAAAGCAAUAUUAAUUAAAAAGUGUAAACUUCCUGAAUUAGAAGCACAACUUAGACAAACGACAGAAAACCAUGCUGCUUUAAGCAACUCUUUGCAGGAGUCGAGACAACAGUUACAAGAGAAGGAUAAUUUAAUUAUGUCCUUGAAAGCUGACAUUGAGGGCCUUAUAACUGAAAAAGAGAGACUGCAGAAAGAAGGAGGGCAUCAACAGCAAGCAGCAACUGAGAAGGAAACUUGCAUCACACAGUUAAGAAAAGAAUUAUCUGAAAAUAUUAAUGUUGUCACGUCAGUGAGAGAGGAGCUUCAGAAUAAGGAAUCUGAAAUCUUGGCUCUGAACAAGAUGGUGUGUGAACUAAAUGUCAAACUUGAGAACAGCGUAAGCUUAACAGAAAAAGAAGAAGCCAUAUCUUUAUUAAGUAAGCAUCACCAAGAAGAUAAGCUACAGUUAUUAAAUCAAAUUCAGGAAUUAUCUUCCAGAGUUGAGACACUGAAUCAAGAAAAAGCAUCAGCUCUUGAGCAAGUAGACCAAUGGAUGAACAAGCUGUCAGAAUGGAAAAAGAAGGCACAGGUAAGGCUUACGCAAAAUAAUAACAUUAUUAAAGAGUUACAAAACAAACUGGAGCUAAGUGAUACCCAAGCUAGUGAAAAGAGAGAAGAGUUAAAUCGGCUGAAGGAUGAGCUAGAAAAGCAAAGCAAAGAGCUAGAUAGUUUUAAAAGCAUAAUGGAAGAAAAGCAGAGCAGCAGGGAGAAGCGAGAAUCUGAAUUGGCUGCAGAAUUAAACAUCAAAACUUCAAGAAUUGCUGAGCUAGAGGAACACAUUGCUCAAAAAACAACAGAAAAUGGUUUGUUAAUAGAAGAACUAAAGAGGCAUAAUGAGCAAAAAGACACUGAGCGAGAAGAGCUUGUUCAACGACUUCAGCAGACUGAGGCAGCGAUUGUUGAAAAGGACAACAGGCUUAAGGAUGCUGAAGAAAAAGUGCUAAGUCUUGAAAAGAAAAUGCAAUCAAUGAAAGCUGAACUUGAGGCAAAACAGAGGGAAUUUGAUCAAGUGAAAACUGAAAUGAUGAAAAGCAAGGAGGAAGAGUUGAAGGUGUUAGAAGAUAGGUUGAAUAUGGAAAACAGCACUAAAUUAACAGACCUGAAAAAAAAGGCGGAACAAAAAAUUGCUUCUAUUAAAAAGCAGUUAACCUUUCAAAUGGAAGAAAAAGACCAGCAGCUUAAGCAAGAUAUGGAAAGUCAGUUAAAAGAUUUAGAACAAAAAAUGCAGGAAAGAGAAGCCAAAAUUAUGGCCUUAAAAGAAAAAAUUAGAUCAACCAAAGAUUCAACAGAAUUAGAGAGAGAGAUGCUGCAAAAAGUAGAAAAUGUCAAAAUUUCUGUAGAGCAAGAAAAAAACACCAUGCUGGAGACACUGCAACAGACAUACGAAGAGAAAAUAUGUGCAUUACAAAAAGACUUGUCAGCAAAGGAUAAAUUGUUGGAGAAAUAUGAAAAAGAGCAACAAGAAAGUAAUAAUUCAAAAGUAGAAAUGCAAAACCAAGAAGAACUCUUAAAAAAAGUAGAAAGUUCUGAGAAAAAACUAAAAGAGGAAGAAGCUGUGAUCAAAAGGCUCCAGCAGGAACUUGAGGAACAAAAUAAGAAAUGUUCUUUGCUGUUAGACCAUCACAUACAACAUGAGAGUGAUUUAGCAAGAGUAAGAGAAGAAUUAAAGACCAGUGAACAAAAUUGUCUUGAUACAGAGAACGUGAUUGGAGACGUCCAGAAAAAACUGGAAGAAAAAGAGAGAGCCUGUAAGUCUUUGGAAAAUAAGCUGAAAGAGUUGGAGGAUAAUUUAACAAAGGAGAAGGAAGUGCACAAAGUUGAGGUAAAAGAUGUGUCUUUAAAAUAUGAAGAAAAAAUACAAAGUCUUCAGCAACAGUUGGAUGAAAGAAACGGUCUCCUAAAAGUGUUUGAAGAAAAUGCAGAAGAGAAGACCAAAUCUGAUUUGGAACUGCAGAAAUUACUGGGAGAUAUGCAGACCCAGCAAAAGGACUUGCAGGUUAAACUAGAGGAGGCUGAAAGGGAGAAGCAGAAACUGCGCAAAGAUGUAAAUAAUCUGCAGAAAGAUUUGCGUACCUUACGAAAGGAGCAUCAACAGGAACUAGAUAUAACGAAGAAGGAAUCUUUAGAAGAGAUGGAACAGAAAAUCAGAUAUGAACGGGAAGACGUUGAACUAAAGCAUAACUCCACCUUAAAGCAGUUAAUGAGGGAGUUUAAUACUCAGCUGGCUCAAAAGGAGAAAGAACUGGAAACAGCUGUACAAGAAACUAUCAGUAAAGCCCAAGAGGUGGAAGCUGAGUUGAUGGAAUCCCAUCAUAUAGAGACAACACAGUUGCAUAAAAAAAUUGCAGAAAAAGACGAUGAUUUAAAAAGAACGGUUAAAAAGUAUGAAGAAAUCCUUGAGGCUCGAGAAGAAGAAAUGACAGCAAAAGUAAAUGAUUUGCAAACACAACUGGAAGAAUUGCAGAUGGAAUACAAACGAAGACUGGCAGAUGAAGAGCAUCGGAACAAUGAAGAAGUAACAGUAAUAGAGCUUCAGGCGCAACUAGCACAGAAGACGACUCUAGUCAAUGAUUCAAAGUUGAAAGAGCAGGAGUUCAAAGAACAAAUUCAUAUCCUGGAAGAUCGAUUGAAAAACUAUGAGAAGAAUGCGUAUGUCACAACAGUUGGAACACCUUACAGAGAUGGAAAUCUUUGCCAUGCUGAUGUCUCUCUCUUUGGAGAGCCCACUGAGUUUGAAUACUUACGAAAGGUCCUGUUUGAAUAUAUGAUGGGCCGUGAGACAAAGACAAUGGCAAAGGUUAUAACUACAGUGUUGAAGUUCCCAGCUGACCAAACCCAGAAGAUCUUGGAACGAGAAGACGCUCGACCAUUGUUUACUUCACCUCGCAGUGGUAUCUUCUGAAUAUUUCAUCAGUCUGUCCUUAGUUAGCAUGUGGGCAUCAUACUCAAGUGUAUUUUCUGGUCUCAAGUGGUCAUGGCUACGACCAUCUUGAAGAAAUUGUGAUAGUAAAAUCUUUCAUGACGACACUGCUUAGAAAUAUGGUCAUAUCUCUGUUCUCCUUUGAGAAUGGACAAAAGGAAAAGCUAUUAUUCAGGGUCCCAAAUGGAGCAGCAAGACAACUUUGGACCAUGGAUAUAGUUUAAAACUGCCUUGGGAAGAGAUGCUAAUCAGGGGUUAUCUGGUGAUGAGUCUUUUCUCUCCUAUUGAAUACUGUCUUCUAUUUUGUGUUUAAAAGUUAUUUUUUUAAAGGGGGGGAAAAGACUUUUGUCUAGAAAGGUUUUGCCUACUGCUAUAUUUGAAUGCAGGUUUCACUGGGUGUUUUUUAAGAGUUGAACUUCAUGGUUUGUCUCUUCUAUUUAUUUAUUUGUUUUUAAUUUUUGUUUGAAUGAACUGUGCAAUACAUUUUUGGGUGGGUAGCAGUUAGUGGGUGACUUCCAGAUGAAUUAGGCCAUUUGACUAGUCCCUCCCUAAUAAGAUCUUUUGAUUGUUUGCUAAGGACUAUUUCUUUAAGCUUUUGCUUACAAUAAAUCCAAAUUGCAGUACCUCGUUUGUUUACUCUUAGCUUUUGUACUUAUAUUUUCUGGAGAAGAAAUACACUACUGUAAAUUGUAAAUAAUACAUAACUGUAUAAUAUGCUCAACUGUGACUGUUGGCAAUGCUAAUCUGGCAGGAGCUGAGAUUUAAAUAAAAUUCUAUUUACUAUAUAAUUUUUUUUUAACUUUUA